AGGGCACCACCAGGAGUGGAGCCUGCGGCUUAAUUUGACUCAACACGGGGAAACUCACCCGGCCCGGACACCGGAAGGAUUGACAGAUUGAUAGCUCUUUCUUGAUUCGGUGGAUGGUGGUGCAUGGCCGUUCUUAGUUGGUGGAGCGAUCUGUCUGGUUAAUUCCGAUAACGAACGAGACUCUAGCCUAUUAAAUAGACGUCGGGUUCUCUGCACUCGACGGUCUUCUUAGAGGGACAAGGUGCUUUUAGCACCGCGAAACAGAGCAAUAACAGGUCUGUGAUGCCCUUAGAUGUCCGGGGCCGCACGCGCGCUACACUGAAGGAAGCAGCGUGUAACAACCUUGUUCUAACGAACUGGGUAACCCGUGGAACUUCCUUCAUGAUUGGGAUAGGGGUUUGCAAUUGUGCCCCUUGAACGAGGAAUUCCCAGUAAACACUAGUCAUCAGCUAGUGCUGAUUACGUCCCUGCCCUUUGUACACACCGCCCGUCGCUACUACCGAUUGAGUGGUUUAGUGA
rnacentral:rRNA from 1 species